UGCCCAGCAACUCCUAUCCCUACCUCCUCGCGGUACUGGCCGGGGUACGAGUAACCUUAGGGAAGAUCGGGUAACCAAACCCCGAUGGGAACUUUGGUCGUAUGCUGACAGAGAAGG
rnacentral:ribozyme from 1 species